rnacentral:ncRNA from 1 species
UAUUUAUCAAGAGUGGUGGAGGGAAUUGGCCCGAUGAAACCCAGCAACCUCAUCUAACGGCGAUAAAGGUGCGAAUUCCAACAGUGUAAAUGCUGAAAGAUAAAUG